CCCCUCUCAGGGUCGCACCUGGAGAGUUUCCAGUGCUCUACCACUCUCGGCAGUGGGAGGCAGAGUCAAGCAGAGGCCUACCCAUUCAAUUCCUAGCUUGGGCAGUGGCUAGCAAGUGGAAGACCAUCUGUUACAAGU